CGCUCCAGAAGUGCCGCGAUCGGGCUGACUGAUGCGAGGAGGAGGGAACAAAUCCAGCUACAGGAUGUACGGGUCCUCACGUGAUGGAAGUCUCUUUCAGGAGUGGCAGUAAAUGAAAAGGAGACAUAAGGAGUCCUAUGUGAUGCAGUGUCAAAGAUGACAUCUAUCAUAGGCCAUAGGGUAUGGUCGAAUUAAAAAACCAAAACAAAACAGGUAACAGGAACCUCACCCAUGAAACACCAAAGCGCAGUCAACACUGAAUAUAAGGGUCUUACGAAUGACCAGAUGCAGAAAACGUACACUGUUGUCAGGGAUUAGGCAGAUCCAAACUGAACUGAAAAUUUUCAGACCAAGAGUUGAGGUAUGAACUAAGCAGCAAGAACUGAGAACCGUUCACAUGCUGUCCUACUGACUUGAUGAAAGUUGCAAGCCUUUUAAAACCGCUUGGGCUGUCUCUGGGUUCCCCUGAUCCAUAAGACAAGUGAGAUUCAGGAUCACCUCAUAAGAUACAUAAACCUGAAAAACGUCCAACGAAAUUGAAAAAUACAUUCUAACUUUGUCUCUGUCAUAUAAAACCACUUAAUAAUAUGUGUUACGAUUUAAAUGCAGCAUAUAUAGUACUUCCUCAACGACGCCUGAUGGAAGGAAAAAACGUUCUACAUCUCGGCCUCAACAUUCCAAAACAUCUUCAUUCCACUGAGGAAAUGCACCCGGGCUUAUAAGUAAGCAUCUUAUUCACCUAGUCAUGCCCACACGAUAACUCAACCCGUCUAAUGCUUUAUUCCUCAGACAAGUCUACCUAGCCCGUACCCUGUUUCAAAUAUCGUGCAGAUUCUACUUCGUAAAUCCUCAACUUUCUUCCCCGGCUUCCUAAACACGAAUCUUCCCGGAGUAAAUUCACGCUGUAAACACACCCAGGGCUUUGUUUUAUACAGAUUUCUCCCCCCUGGUCCCAAGAGAGGUUGCUUUCCCUUCUAGAUCCAACCGAGGCCAAACACUGCCAUCUGGGGUCACGGCUUCCUCUCGCCGCUGCCGCCGUGGAGCGGACUCGCUGGGUUCCGGAUUCCCCGCGCCGGCCCGAGCCUCGCACCCCUUCCUGUCUCCGUCUGCCCACGGUUUGCCUUUCCAGGUCGCGAGGGAAUCAGCGUAAAACGUGGGGUGGUACAGACGGGAGUUCCAAUCGAGCUGCCUGCCUUGGAGGCUGCCAGACAGAACACCAUGAAUGCACUCUUCCCUGAGCCCCGUGAGGAGUGUUCCAUUGUCCACCCAUUUUACAUAUGAGGAAACUGAGGCACAUCGCUGCUAGGAAGUGAAAGGACCUGGAUCUGAACCCAUAAGCAGCUGGAGCCUGCAGCCUGGGCUGUUAAUCACAUCGCACCAAUGCCUCGCGCCAGAGACGAGAGGAGGAUGCCAAGUGAAACCAGUGUAAUCAUCCAAGUGAAAUACUCAGACUUAUGCAGAAAAUUAACUGUCCCUUACUAAAUUUUGCAAAUUCUGCGUUCUUAGUUCAGAUAUUUCAGGACGGGUAGGUAUGGUUUUGGUAACCAGUCUGCUGUCUGAUGGAUCUGUGGGGGCUGAUGUGGAAGGAGGUGGGUCCUCUCCAGACUCUAACAAGGCUCCUGCCAGCAGCCACCACCCUAACAUCUUUUAAAAAUUCCUCUUCUGACACUUGCAAAGGGCCUCAUAACAUUUCUACUUCCUCGAUCAAGUUUCCUUUAGCUAACUGGUACACACAACUAUCCGUUUGUUUUGUAUUAAUAGUGUGCUGGACUGUAUAUAAAAUACAUUAUGCCAGCAUUUGCCCAGUAGAACUGCUACCUUAAAAUUUAGCAUUUAUAUUGUGCCUUAGGCUCGUCCUUUCUCCCUUUUGACCUCCUUUUCAAGUGACCCUAAGAACUGAAUGGUCUCCCAGCUCCACUUAGCCAAGGCUUACAUUCUUAGAGUUCCCCAAAGCUGAUGCCACCAGGGCAUUGGUGCUUGUCCUGAACCAGGAGGAUCCAGAACUCUCACCAAGUGGCGAGGAAAUAAAACAAAAACAGAUGGAAGCCAAGUCAGCCUCGGUCACAGCCGUCACCCAUUACCCUGCUUUCUCUCUGAGUGUCAUUUAGUGUUCUGGUCUGCCUAUCAGAUCGUGACACCGGGAGUGAUCCCAGUCUGCCCAGAGAUUUUGCCCAGACUUAGCCACCAAAGGGCACUGCAGGCUGUCCCAGGGCAGGGACAGGCAGUGACCUAACGUAAAAGGAAGAGGGCAGCCAUCCCCUCCAGUCCUCUCCAUCCCCACAUCCAGGAACAGGUAGGAAAAGGGACAGACUGGAUAAGUGCCCCCUGGAAUCUGGGAUUCAUAGGGGAGGGUUUCCCUGGCACGUGGCCCUUUUCCUUGUGCCCAUGUCACAAAGGGCAUGUCUAAAGCUUGGGAACAUUAUUUUCCAGAGGAUCGGGUCAGGGAAAGAGAAUGAAUUCUCUGUGUCCAGACCAGUAACUGGCUGGCACGCUCCUGAACCAAGGGACACCAUUUGUAAACGUGUCCCUAAGGAAGGAACAGAAAUGAUACAAAGGGUUGCUUCCUAAUACACUUAAUAAUGUAUGUUUAACAAGCAAUAGAGAAUGCAUGCUUCAGCUAUUUUACUAUUAUUUUACCAUUUGUCUCUGUUCUUCAAUAGGUUUUUCCCCAUUAACAGCACAAGGACAAGGUCUUUUACAGAGUUAUUUUUCUAAUAAAACAUAAAUAAGAGAAAUUUUUGCAUCGUGUCACACAGCAAUUUAGAACUAAUUCCAGGGUUGCCUGGAUAAAACUAUGGUUCAAAGAGUGCCCGUAUGACAGACCAAGGGCUACAGUGAUUUCUCUUAAGGAAAUUACUAAUGUUAUUUAAUUGCUUUUUAUUUUCCCCAUGAAGAAUCAUUCCACAAGCAUUUAAAACCCACAUAUAUCUGUCAUAUGGGUCCUUUAAAGAGACCAAGCUUUCCGUUAAAUAGGGUUCCUCUCCUAAUACUGUCUCCUUAAAUUACCAAGAUCAACCAAUAAAUAUUUACGUUCCCUGGAAGAUUUGUGACUGUGCACAGGAUUUUUUUUAAUUAGCUAAUUUAACAGGUGACUGGCACUGAUCUGAGAAAUGCUUCCCACCAUCCACCCCAUUUCCAACUCAAUCACUGACCUUAGAAAGUUACUUCCCUUCUCCAUUCAUUUCCCUACAAAAAUCCAGGCUAAGGCUGAGCCCUCAGACAAUUCAGACAAGAUUAAUGGAUGCACUGUACAAUCCCACCCCCCACCCGCAGAACAUAGGGGCUAAAAAUACAUAAAAUGCCAGUAUAAUUCGGGCCUACAACCAGGACUUUUGUAAUUUAAAAAUAUUUCUCUUAACAAGACCAAAUCUCUCCCUUGGUUUCCUUCCUUACCAGAGCACCCAAAAGACCAAAUCCAAAGCUUACUCAAAGUGGGAUGAUAAAGCAUACAGUAAAGAGGCGAAAGAGGAUUAAAGUUAGCAGCUCUGUUCACAAUGAUCAAAUGGGGGAAACAAAUCAAAUUCUGUGCAUUGAUGAAUAGGUAAACAAAAUGUGGUCUCCAUCCAUACAAUGGAAUAUUAUUCAGCCAUAAAAAGGAACGAAGUGCUGACACAAGCUACAAUGUGAUGAAUCUUGAAAACAUGAUGCUAAGUGGAACAAGCCAGACACAA